rnacentral:misc_RNA from 1 species
UUUAUUUUUUUAACUUUUUAUUUAAUUUUCAAAGCGUUGUUGUUAUUUUAUUCCAGCUCUGUAAUUAUUUUUUUAGCAAUCAAUACAAGCCUUCUUUAUAUUUUCUAUUUGUGAGAUUUGACAAUAGUUAAAUGCCCACAAUUGUUUGAUUUCUAAGUUAGUAGCAUACUAACUAAUACAUCUGACACGUCUGUAAUUUCUAUGCUGUCAGCUAGCCGAGAUUAUUUUUAAAGAAACAACCUCUUUUAUUUCUUUAAUUUCUCUAUGGAAUAACUUCACUCUAUCUUACCAAAUAUUAU